rnacentral:rRNA from 1 species
AUUGAACGCUGGCGGCAGGCCUAACACAUGCAAGUCGAGCGAGCGGCGGACGGGUGAGUACUGUCUGGGAAACUUCCUGAUUGAGGGGGAUAACUACUGGAAACGGUAGCUAAUACCGCAUACCAUCAUAUUUUCCCAGAUGGGAUUAGCUAGUCGGUUGGGUAAAGGCCCACCUAGGCGACGAUACCUCGCUGGUCUGAGAGGAUGACCAGCCACACUGGAACUGAGACACGGUCCAGACUCCUACGGGAGGCAGCAGUGGGGAAUAUUGCACAAUGGGCGCAAGCCUGAUGCAGCCAUGCCGCGUGUGUGAAGAAGGCCUUCGGGUUGUAAAGCACUUUCAGCGGGGAGGCGUUACCCGCAGAAGAAGCACCGGCUAACUCCGUGCCAGCAGCCGCGGUAAUUC